UACGGAGGAUGCAAGCGUUAUCCGGAAUGAUUGGGCGUAAAGAGUCCGUAGGUGGUUAUUCAAGUCGAUUGUUAAAGAGCGGGGCUUAACCCCGUAGAAGCAGUGGAAACUGAAUAACUAGAGAGAGGUAGGGGUAGAGGGAAUUCCCGGUGUAGCGGUGAAAUGCGUAGAGAUCGGGAAGAACACCAGUGGCGAAAGCGCUCUACUGGGCCUCAUCUGACACUGAGGGACGAAAGCUAGGGGAGCGAAUGGG
rnacentral:rRNA from 1 species